AGUGAACGCUGGCGGUAGGCCUAACACAUGCAAGUCGAACGGCAGCACAGUAAGAGCUUGCUCUUACGGGUGGCGAGUGGCGGACGGGUGAGGAAUACAUCGGAAUCUACUUUUUCGUGGGGGAUAACGUAGGGAAACUUACGCUAAUACCGCAUACGACCUACGGGUGGAAGCAGGGGAUCUUCGGGCCUUGCGCGAUUGAAUGAGCCGAUGUCGGAUUAGCUAGUUGGCGGGGUAAAGGCCCACCAAGGCGACGAUCCGUAGCUGGUCUGAGAGGAUGAUCAGCCACACUGGAACUGAGACACGGUCCAGACUCCUACGGGAGGCAGCAGUGGGGAAUAUUGGACAAUGGGCGCAAGCCUGAUCCAGCCAUACCGCGUGGGUGAAGAAGGCCUUCGGGUUGUAAAGCCCUUUUGUUGGGAAAGAAAAGCAGCAGGUUAAUACCCCGCUGUUCUGACGGUACCCAAAGAAUAAGCACCGGCUAACUUCGUG
rnacentral:rRNA from 1 species